GUGAACUUCAGGGCACCCUCAGGACUCAAACACACAGUAGUUCUGCUCAGGAAACGUUUGUCAGAGGACCAUGAGAUUGGCUGUAAUCCUUUUUCUCCAACUGUGGGGGAUUGUUGAAGUUUCCUCAUCACAGAAUGUUUCACCAUCGAGCUGCAACCCCCUGCCUGCAGAUGGACGGGUUGCAGUAAUAGGUUUGCCA